rnacentral:lncRNA from 1 species
CUGGAUUUUUGCUCAUGAAAUCUCCUCCACACAUUGUCUCGAGGAGUUGCUUCAUUGAGGAGGACAUACCAUCAUAAAAAUAGCUCACCAAUAGCCAUGUAUCAAAGCCAUGGUGAGGGUAAGCAUUUAUAGCUUCCAUGUAUCUUUCCCAACACUCAUAGAAUUUCUCAUUCUCUUUAGCUGAGAAGUUUGAAAUUUGCCUUUUCAAGCCAUUUGUUCUAUGAGUAGGAAAAAAUUUCUUGAGGAAUUCAGCUUAUAAGUCAGUCCAAGAGCGGAUACUCCUUGGCCUUAAAGAAUUAAGCCAAAUUUUGGCUUUAUCCUUUAAAGUAAAAGGAAAUAACUUAAGCCUCAUCAAAUCAAUUGAAGCUCCUCCCUCUUGAAAUGUAUUACAAACAUCUUCAAAUUCCUUGAUGUGUGCAUACGGAUUCUCACUUUCCAUCCCAUGGAAAGUUGGUAGAAGUGGAACAAGAUACGGUCUGAUCACUAGCUGCUCUGUAGGGGGCACUAUACAUGAUGGUGCACUCAUACGAGGUGGAUGCAUGCGAUCCCUCAUUGAUCUGAAUUCAUUGAGAUUAUCUUGACGACCUUGGUGACUAUGCUGAUCUUCAGGUGUAGCUUCCAUGAUAUUCAAGAUCAGUUCGAAUUCUUUUCUCUGAGGUGUAUCACACUUAACAAGCCUUCCUCCACUGUCUCGUAUCCACUUUGGCAUACACAACUAGUAUCUAUCUGCAACUAAAAAUGAAAACAAAAGACAACAAAAGAAACAGGGCUACAACAACAAAAUUAAACUAGGCUAAAUUUUAAAAGAUAAACUUAGAUUAUGAAUAAAUAAAGAAAGAAUGAAAAUUAGUAAAGUGAAAGAAACUUUACCAACUUGUGAUGAAAAUCACAAGUGCUCAAAAAAAUGGUAUCACUAUAAACUUGACUCAUUCCCCGGCAACGGCACCAUUUGAUUCGUGCCCAAUUGGUGUCUCAGCUGAUUUGUGUCCAGUUGAUGCUCCUUGAUUGAGAGAGUAAUCAACAAAAUUUAUAACCUAUAACACCAUAUACUAGGGUAGCAAAGAAAAAGCUACUAUAGUAUAGUGACUCUAGGAUCGUCCACUGGGAAAGAUUAACAAGCUCUCAAUGAUACCAAUUCCAAGUGAAUUGGUUUUGUUUCAUUUCAUGGUUAGCUUAAGAAUUAAAACACAAACUUUGAUUGGUAAAGGUUUAGACUUAAACUAACUAACAUAACAGAAGUUUGGAAUAAUUUAGGAAGAAAAACAUUCCCUGGAGUGUUAGGUUCACUGGGGUGGUUCCUCAUGCAAAAGACAUAGCUCCGGUCAGAUGGUUCAUUUCCUCGUGUUAGAGAUUCAACAUAUAGUCAAUUCUCUAACCGGUGUUGUACAAAGACUCCUUCAAUUAGAUUUCACUUUAAUUCUCUCACUGAUGCAACUUGCAAUGGUUUAAGCCUCUCACUAAGCCUUAACCAUUCAAGGUGAUCUUUAACCUUGGAUUACCCGUCAAAAGCUCGCAAGAGAUAACUAAUGGAUGUCUCCUUGGAGUCCAAAAGCUUAUCAAGUGUUGGCUAUUCUAGAAAAUCCUACCUUGAAGUCACCUCCCAGAGGCUCGCAAGGGGUAAACUAGUGCACUUCCAUGGUUGGAAACCACUUGCCUUACCAAGUGUUGGCCCAGGUGACUCUAAGGUGUUUUAAGUUAACUAAAAACAUAGAAAUCAUUAAAGGAUUUCACUUCCUCUUCAUUACUAGCUAAAACCACAGAGCUUUGCAUUCUUGCACUUGGAACCUUCCCCGGCAACCUUAGCUCCAAGGAACUAGAGGUUUAGUUACUCAUUCUCUGGGGAAAACUCCUCAGAGAGUUCAUAACUUAGUAAGAAAAUGAAAAUACAAAGUGAGAAGGUAAGGCAGUGGAAAGAAAAUAAACUUUACUUGCUUACCCAAACUUUUAUAGAAGGAACUCCUCCCUGAGAACAGGCUCCCGAGAGGUAUAUAUAUGUACAUAAUAUAAAACUAAUUAUUACAUAGAUAUUUAGUCUUUUUACUAACUUAAAAGCUAAGGAAUCAUGUAAUUGGUGGUUUACAAGGAGUAUUUUGGGAUUUAGACAACAAAAAUCUAAUGGAAAAUAUCUCCCAAUGUCGGUAGCAAAUAUCGGGAGGCUUCAGGAACCAUUUUGCAGGAGAAAAAUGGUGUCUGCGAGAUUUCGCAGACACUCAAGAGGGCUGCGAAAUAAUUUCGCAACACCAAGCUAUCUUCACAGGGCUGCGAAGAUGGCUUCCACCUUGAGGUUCCCAGCUUCCUUCUCGUGGCAUAAAUCGGGCAUCGUCAGAAGGAGAAACAUUACACUGUUCAAAAAGGCUGCGAAAUCACUUCGCAACAAAAGGGUGAUUUUGCAACACUUUGCAAAAUGCUUCUUUCAGCUCGGAGUGAUUGGCUUGUAAUGGCUGCAACUUCUUCGUUUCAACUCCGAAUUGCACACCAUUUGAAGCAUUGGAUUUUUAACUUCCUGAGCUUUGAAAUGGUAUAUAGCAUGCAUCAUUUGGACUUCAUAAAGUGCUCCAAAAGUGGCUGCUAUGACUGUCAUCAAGAAUAUGCUUUAUGGCAGAUUCUCUUUGCUUUUUCUCCUUGCAAUCCGGAUUUACUCUUGGCAAAUGACUUCUAAGCUUUGCCCAAGAUUCCUCAUAGCUCUCCUCAGUCUUGACUUGCUUUGGUGAUCAAAAUACUAACAAAAACACCAAAACUUACACAAAGUGAUCAAAAUUGCUUUCAAGGGUCCUUAACAUGCCAAUUGAGUUAAAAGGCCUAAACUACUACUCAAAAGUGUUUAAAAUAAUUUAUUAUAGGCUAUCAAAUAGCACUUUUUGAGUAGUAAUCAACAUACACUAGAACGAAAAUGGUACAACUAGCUGAAUGUCUAAUGAAUAGAGAAUGAUCAAAUUUGGAGGACAUAAACCCCAAAGAAACUAAAACAUCCCUUAGUUUUUCAAACCAGGCUCUUGGAGUUUGCUUUAAACCAUAUAAUGCUUUAUGCAACUGACACACCAAGUGUAGAGAAUUUGAAUUUUCAAAGCCAGCUGGUUGUUCCAUAUGCACUUCCUCCUGUAAAUCUCCAUUUAAAAAUGCAUUAUUCACAUCCAACUAUCUUACAUACCAACCAUUCGAUAAAGCAAUUAUUAAAAAAAUUCUUAUUGUAAUAGGCUUGACUACAAGACUAAAAGUCUUAGUAAAAUCAAAACUUACAAGUUGGAGAAACCCUUUUGCUACCAAUUGUGCCUUAUGCUUCAGUAUACUACUAUCUGGAUUUUCUUUUACUUUAAACACCCAUUUACAACCAAUUGCUUUCCUGUUAAGUGGUAAAUGUACUAGUGACCAAGUCUUGUUUUUAACAAGUGCUGACUACUCCUCAGUCAUAGCAGCUUUCGAAUGAUCUUGCUGUAAAGCUUCUUGAAUGAAAACUGGUUCUUUAGAAGCCAUAAAGACUUAAGGUUUGAAUAUUCCAGCCUUAGAUCUAGUUCUCAUGGAAUGAACAUUUCUAGAUACAUUUGAUACAGGCUUAGCAUUGGUUUGGUCAGAAUUGGAUUGGUCAGCAACUGUGUUUGUAAUAGAAGAAGUGGAAAGUGAGGGUAUAGACAGAAUUGAGGAAUGAAUAGGAAUAAGAGCAGAAUGGGAAGUAGGUGUUGGACUAGGAAUAGAGGAAGGAGAAGUAAUGGACUUGGUUUUAGCAAAAGGAAAUGAUUUCUCAUUGAAUUGAACAUCUCUGGAUAUGUAGAUACAACCUUGAGGAUCUAAACACUUGAAACCUUUAUGUUUGAUACUAUAGCCCAAGAAAGUACAUUCCACAUAUUAAAAUUGGAACUUAGUAUUGCUGUAGGGUCUAAGGUUUGGAAAACAGGACCAGCCAAACACUUUCAACAUGAAAUAAUUUGGUUGUUGUUUGAAUAGAACUUGGAGAGGAAUUUGACCAGAAAGUACUAAGGAAGGCAACAUGUUGAUAAAAAAAAUUGAUGUUCAAACAGCUUCAUCCCAAUAUUGUAGAGGUAAAUAGGCAUGAGCUAAGAGUGUCAAGGGUGUUUCAAUGAUAUGCCUAUGUUUGCGUUCAACAAGACCAUUUUGUUCAUGGGUUCUAGGACAAACAACUCAGUGAAUUAUGCCAUUAGACUCAAGAUAAUUUGUAAAAGCUUGGUACUCACCACCCUAAUCAGAUUGGAUUUUCUUGAUAAAACAACCUAGUUGUAACUCUACCUAAGUUUUGAAGUUAAUAAAUGUUUACAAGACAUUAGAUUUAUUCUUGAGUAGAUAAACCCAAGUGAAACAAGCGAAUGAAUCAACAAAGUGAACAUAAUAGUUAUAGCCAUUAGAAGACAAAACAAGGGAAGGUCCCCACAAGUCUGAAUCUAUGAGUUCUAGAGGUUUUAUGUACUUAGUAGUAGAAUCAAGAAAGAGAAAUUUAUGAUGCUUUCCUAGACAACAAGCAUUACAAAAAUCAGGCAAGUCUUUAUUGAUGGUUGGAAAAUUACAAAAAAAACAACACUUUUUUAAUCACUUUAGCAUUAGAAUAGCCUAACCUAUUGUGCCAAAAUUAAAAAAUAGGAUCAAUUGAAGCAUUAGAGGCUAUUGUUGUAGCUUGUACAGACAUACAUUUUGGAUUUAUAGGAAAGCAUGGAACAUGAUAAGCUGACGAGGACUUGAGUGACUGGGACUUGAGUUGAAUGCUUGAGCUAUCAAAAACAUACAGUCCAUUGGCUACCUUACCCUACAGUAGGAUAGUUCUUGUGACUUGGUCUUUAACAAAACAUUGAUUAUAAUGGAACUCAAAGAACACGUUAUUAUCAUGAGCAAAUUUAGAGACACUCAAAAGAUUUUUCGAAAUGGAUGGGACAUGAAGAAGUUGUUUUAAAACUAGAAGUUUAGAUGAAAAUUGAGAAGGAAAAGUUGACUGACCAAUGUGUUGAAUUGCAAGAUUAGUACCAUCUCCCAUAUGAAUUUGGUCAUUUUUUGCAUAUAUGUCUUGAAUAAUGAGAUUAUUGGGAUCUGGUGUGCAGUGGUUGGUUGCACCAGAGUCGGGAUACCAACUAUUAUCUAUCACAACAUUAGGAUUAACCACCAUAGCAGCCAUCUGGGCAGACAUUUGUGGAGUUGCAUUCUAUUGAAAUUUUGAGAUCUGUAAUUACCUUGUCCAUUGAAAUUGCGUUGAAAACUACUUUGUCCUCCAUUAAACUUUUUAUGGGAUUGUUGAUUGUUAGAAAUCUUCACCAUAUUCACUUGAUUUGCUAAAUCAAGCUCCUUAGAAUGUUUUUCCAUCCUGUUUUCUUGUGCUAACAACAAUGAUUCAAUCUCUGCGACUGUAUACAGAUCAUUUCUUGAAUUCACUGUAACAACAAAUGUAUCAUACUCAAAAGACAAUCCAUCAAAGAUUGCAUCUAUAUGAUCUUUGGUUGUAACAACAUAUCCAACAGAAGCUAGCUGAGCAAUUAGGGAUUUAAUCUUUAACAGAUAAUCAUUUACUGAUAGAUCAUCCUUCUUUGUGUUAUGGAACCUAGUCUUGAAUUGAGAUAUCUUAACUUUGGUUUGUGAGGCAAAGAACACCUCAAGAGUUUUCCAAAUCUGACAUGAAGUGUCACACCCAACCAUUUGCAUGAGCAUCGCUUCUGUCAUUGAAGAGAGUAGCCAUGAAAAGAGCAGCCAAUCUUGUUGUUAUUAGUCAAGAUACUCUGGAUUUAUCUUCCCUUGAACACGAUCUCCAGUCGUAAGAAACCUUUCUGGUGGAUUUUCAUUUUCCAAAAUAAAUUUUUGCAGUUUGUGACCUUGUAUUGCAACUCCAACUUGCCAUUUCCAGAGAAGAAAAUUGCUAUCAUCUAAUUUGAUUGACAACGAGUGUGCGACUAUAGAAGGAGAGCUCUUCAACGAAGAAGAAAAUGAUUUCUCUCCAGCCAUUUAGAAUGGCUUUGAUACCAUAUUAGAAUUGAUAAAAUGGGUAUUUCAUGUUGAUGAGAAAACAUAGUUUACAACUUAAAUAAUCCUCUAUGUAUCUAACUACUAAUAAUGUAUAACUAACAGGUAAAGAGUGUGUAACUAAUUUCAUAACCAGAUAACAAUAACAUGUUGUCUCUUCAAUGAUUACUUUUCUUAUUUUGUGUUCCUAAGAGUCGUUACUAAGCUUUAUUUGAAAUGCCCCAGGUGUUAGUUUUGUUUUAUUUUCUUAUUUUUAUUUUGAGCUAGGAACACAUUUUCUGAUAUCUUGGGAUGUAAUUUUUUUAAACUAUGGGUGUUCAAGGAAGUUGCCACUAUUGGCAAAUUUCAACGAGGGUUCUUCAAUGAACUUGCCACUGCAUGCAUGUCGGCACUGGAUCAUAUUACAGCUAGCUUUUGAUAUUAGUCGCAAUUUUUCAGCGAUGUUUCUGUGAAGGAACUUGCCACUUGCCACUUGCCACUUGCCACUACAUGUCGGCAAUGGAAAUCUUACAGCUAGCUUUGGAUGCAUGCUUUGAUGUCCAACAAAUAUCCCACGUACCCAACUCUAAUUCCUAUGCUUUUCCUAGAAAAACGGCACAAGUGAUUCUGUAUCUCACUUCUCUUCUUGCCCAUUUCAUAGCACCGGCCGCGAAAACUCUUGUGUGGCCUCAUAUCAUCAUCAUGGUAGUUUAAUUAUUUAAUUAUUGCUUAUUGCCAGGAAGAUGUAGUGUACGCGUGAUCAGAAGUUUGGACAUGAGAGAUCUGUUCAUGAUCUCUAUUUUCAAAGGCGGAUCUUGAAGGAACUUCCCACUUGCCGGCAAUGGAUAUAUCCACAGCUUUGAAUGUUCAGAUUCCCAGGCUUUUAAUUUUGUCCGCAUAUGGCAGUGUUUUGAGAAUUUUUCAAUUUGUAAGAGAAAAAUUUUCUUUUAGAGAUACGUAGCUGGCAAUACACGGCAAGUAAUGCUAUUGCUCUCCCUUCAUAUUUCACUGUGGAAAUUUCCCGGGAACCAAACACAACUGAGUUAGCAAUUUGAUUAAUUGAAUUUCAUCUGUAUUUCUUGAGGCAAAUUAUAUAUACCUUUGAAAACUUCCAAACGUCAAUAUUAACCAACUCAAACGUAUGUUAAUCUAAAUGGGUAACCACUUUCCCAGAAAAGAUUCAAAAAUUGCUGAAGUUUGGUUCUUCGUGGGAUGGGAAGAUGAUUAUGCUCAUGGAGCUCUCGGGAAAAUGCCCACUGAUAGAGAUAUUAUUGUCUAGUUCGAGGGCUUCCUUGAAAAUAUUGACACCCCCGGCUUCCUUGAAGGCUUCUUAAGCUAGCUUAUAUGCACCUUACCUCAGUAUAUGGAUCUGCAGAGAGUAUAGCCUACCUUCACAACCACUCUCAACAAGCCCCAUAAACGUGCUCAGCUCUCAACAAUCCACCAUCGAUCCUUCUUUGUCCCGAAAAUGUAUUCCUUGAGAGUUGACACACUCGUGAGUAGUGCAAAAAUGGUGUUCCUUCUGGUCUUGAUCCUUACAGGUCUUGCAUCUUUCUCAGAUGCAAGGACUUUGGGAGAGAAGCCGAAGGAGAGUACCAACGUAGCGUCCACACUUCCGAAUCAAACUGGUCCAGUACCGCCAUCCAAGCCUUCUUCCUGCACUUACACCCCCAGCCCGCCUGCCCCUGGCCACUGCCACAACCAUAGAUGAACUUCAAUUUGCUGGGAGAGGAGGAAGAACGGAAAUUAUAGUUACUUCGAUGUCAACUUUGGAAGAAUAUAUUUUAGAUUUGAUUAGAUGUUGAAGUACAAACAUUUUUUAUUUCUAUAUCUAAUCAACUCUCUAAGAUAUAUUCUUCGUGAAAAUAACUUACGAGAUAUUUUGGGUUUCAAUUCUUAAUUCCGUAUUUCUUCUUUUCAACAAAUCUGCUUUGUUGUAACUUCAGAUUGUAAAUCAGUUAUGCUACUUACACAAUUUGGAAUAUAAUGAAAUUCAUGGUUUGUUUGUGUUCCUUAAUUGCCUGUGAACAAAUAAUAAAACAAGUUGUUCAAUCUUAUGUAUUUUCUCUUUGGUAAAUUAAAACUGCACUUCCCUUUUCUAGUUCCACAUAGUAGCAUCCAAGGAUAAAAAUAUUGGGAUAUAUCGGUAGUAUAUCACUGAUAUAUCAUGUAUCAAAGAAAAUGUAUACGAUAUAUGGGUAAGAUAUAUUGACCAACAAAAAUAUUGGAUUUUAUUAGGAAAUAUCGUCGAUAUAUUAAUUUCCAAUAAAUUUGCAACAUAAUAAAAAUAUUCGGCCCUGGAUGGAAAAAAUUGUUGAAAUUUGGAUGAUUUAUCAACGAUAUAUCAACAAAAACUCGAUGAAAUAUCGGUGAUGUCUAAUGCCCAAACUUUUAAUUUUUUUUUUUUUAACGGGCUAAUGUUGAAUCAACUCAACCAAACUAUACAUGAUGACUUUAAAAUUUUCUCUCAUAGGUCAAAAGAUAGAUGGAAUCCAAUGACUUCAUAGAUGUAAUUUUUAACUUUAAUACAAUGAGCUAAAGGCAGAAUUGGACCCAACAUGCCCAUUUAUUGUGGCUUAUGUUUUAAAACAGAUGACUUCUAUCAUUAAGCCAAACUUAUUUUAUGAUAUAUUAUGAUGUAUGAUAUAUAUAUAUAUAUAUAUAUAUAUAUAUAUAUAUAUAUAUAUAUAUAUAUAUAUAUAUAUAUAUAUAUGAUUAUUAUUUUAUGAUAUAUUUAUGAUAUAUAUAUAUGCUUAAAAUUCUUUAUCUAUAUGAUUAUUGUAUGUAUAUUUUUAUAUAUUAUAAUAUAUUUUAUAAAUUAAUUAAAAUAAAAUUAUUAUAAAUAAGUUAAUUUUAAUUAUUUUAUAAUCUAAAAUAUCUACUGAUAUUUCUGUAAAAUUCAAAUUUCGAUAUAUUCGUGAUUAUUGAUUCCUUGGUAGCAUAUGAUAUCAGAAUGAUAAAUUAAAGAAAAAGAACCAUAAGAGCGCUUCUUGUUACUUUCGGUGUUCUUACCCAUAUUUGAUUUGGCCGUUUCUGAAUAUUCUUUACAUUGUUGAUUGGAGUGGACGGAAAGUGCCACAAAUUGUUGUGUUGAGGUUGGUUCUUGUCAUUUAUUAUGCUCUCAUCUGCAUUUUUGUUUUUCUUUAUUCUCUUGCUAAUUCCAAGACGCCAUUAGUACUGUUAUGGGCAUUACGAUCACUUGUUUGCUUGCUGAAUUUCAUCGUUUGUGAAUUUGUUUUUUUUUUAAGUUUUAUUCUUGGAUGCUUUGAUUUUUCCCCCUUUUAAGCAGUUGGAUUCAUUCUUGAGUCUAGUGUUUGGUGAUCAAAUAUCUUUUUUCCAUGCUUGGCUCACCUGUUCGAAGCCCGUUGAUUCGAAACAUAAAACAUGGUUUUUUCUGGUUCUUUCUAUUUCUAUUUUUCUUUUAUGCUCUGUUUUUGGAUACCUUUCUUUCUUUUUUAUACUUGUCUAUGAAGUUUUUUUUUUUCUUUCUAAAAACAGUUGGAGCGUGGAAUUCAAAUUUGGAAGGACAAAAUGGAAAGAAAACACAAAAUUAUGCUAGAGUAAAUAUAAAUCGGUUGGGUCUGAUGAAGGCACUAGGUCACCUACAGUCGUUCUUUGCGAUGAAUGACAUAGGAUGAGGAAAAAUGGUGAGAGGCCAAAAGAAGUGUCAAAAACUACUGGUUCAUCACCAAGGAUUACACCGAAGUCAGAAAAAUCAUAUGAGAUUUCUUCAGCUCCAUAAAUGCUUUAAUUGAAAGUUGUGCCAAGAUAUAUGAAGUUAGUGCAUCUGCAACACCUGAUGAUGCUCCCCGAGUUUUAUGCAUUGGAACUGCCGACACAAAGCUAGAGGAGAUCCGAUUCUUGGCCGAGUCUAUUUGAUCCAAUUUGAACAAUAUCUCCAACACUUAUUCUACUACCAAGUUAAAAGUGACAAUUGUUAAUGUAUUCUACCCACCAAAACGAGAUUGACAGUGUGGGGAAUUUUAUAUUUGUACCCAAAAAAUAUAUAUUCUCUUGCUAUUUUGGGUCUAUGGAACAAAUAUCUUGUCCACUGCCAAAUGACAGAGGCAAAUGAAUCCCAAAAGGUCUAGGGUCUCUUAUUUAUAAGGGGUCAUAAUCCUAGGGAUCCCAAAAGAUAGGUUGUUAGGAAACACACCUCGAAAUGACACACCGCCUGACAAAAUGCCUCGGUGGAAGUAACCCCCCUUUAAACAACUGACACGUGUCUCACUCACACUAGGGAACUCCAAGGGACAUUUUCAGUUCAUACACCUCUGCCUGAACAUAGGUGCACACGAUGUAGGGGGCAUUGUGGGGACCUUCUCCCACAUGUCUACCCACGUGUACCUCCACACGUCUAUUCACAUGGCAUCAUCCUAGCUGGACCACGUGUCACCCUUUUCAUCAUAGUUCGGACAACCUUCUAGGCACUCGAAAAUAUCCUAUUCUGACCAUUUGUGCCACUAAGCAUACCACACUUCCCUAACAACCCUAAAUCAUAUUGGGUGUGUAAGGAUUUGGUUGUCUAACAUUGGAAUGAUUGAUGAGACUCUUCCCAUUUGAUUACUACUCAAAAAGGGCUAUUUGAUAGCUUGUAAUUAACUCUUUUAAACACUUUUGAGUAGUAGUUAUUGCCUUUUAACCCAAUUAACAUAUUGAGGACCUUUGCAAUCACUUCUAAUCAUUUUGUGUAAGUUUUGGUGUUUUUGUUAGUAAUUUGAUCACCAAAGCAAUCCAAGGUGGAGGAGAGUUAUUUGGAAUCCAUGGUAAAGCAAUGGAAAGCUCAGGAACAUGAAGAAUCAGAGCUUUGAAGCCUUAAAGUCCUUUGCCAUAACCAAUCCGGAAUGCAAGGAGGAGAAGUAAAGAGAGAAUCUACCUUGAAGCAUUCUUGAUGACAGUCAUUUCAGCUACUUUUGGAGUACUUUCUGAAGUCCAAUUUAUGCAUGCUUUAUGUCGUUUCGAAGAUCGGGAAGUCAAAAAUCCAAUGCUUCAAACGGUUUGCAAAUCAGAGUUGAAAUGAAGAAGUUAGAGCCAAUAGAAGCAGAUCACUCCAAGUUGAAGGCCAAUUUCGCAGGGCUGCGAAAUCAGCCUUCGUCUGCGAACUUUCGCAGCCAUUUUGUGCGCCUGCGAAAUUCUCCUGAGUGCUUCCAGAUAUUUGCGACCAACGUUUUUUGAUAUUUUGCUUCAGAUAUUUGUUGUCUAAAUCCCAAUUCUCUCCUUGUAAUCCACCAAUUAGAUGAUUCCUUAGUUGUUAAGCAAGAAUACAGGGGUAAACAACCUGUUAUAUAUUGUUUUGUAAUUUUCAUUUUUCGGACUGUCGGGGAACUUUCUCCAGGGGACCAACUUAUGUAAAUUUUACACUUAGUGAAAUACAGAGUAUCUUUUGCUUUCUUUUUCUCUCUACUAUUUUCUAUUUUCUUAGUAGCCAAACAUCCUUGGAGGAUGAAAUCCCCAAGGAUGAGAGGCUAAAACCUUUUAGUUUCUUGAAGUAAUGGAUGCCAUGUGAAGCUCCCGUGUCAGGAUGGAGAUUUCCAAGCCAUGAAUGUAAGUAGCUGAGCAUCAUAAAUGUUUUCAUUCAAAGUAAAGCUUUUAAUCCCUCUGACUUGCUUUGAAUGGCCAAUACUUGAUAACUUUUUGGUCUCAGUGGAUUCUUAUUGUUAGAUCCACUGACGUUCAUUAGUUAUCUCCUACGAGCCAUUGUAUUGCAAGUCGAGGAGAUGACCUAUAUCAUUAAAAGAGCAUUUAUGAGGUUCAGCUACCCUUUUUGUAAGUUUUGAAGGACUAAAACUCAGUUGUUAAACACAUACCGGUUCGGGAAGUAAGCAUCACCUUAGUUGCUUCCCCAACUCGAGGUGAAAAGUUCCAAAAUCUCCAUUUUUACACAGUGAGUUAAGCAUGGCUAUCCAAAGCUUUGAGAAACUUCUUUUUCCAUCUUUUAACCUAUUUUCAUGUUAGUUUAGUUUACAACAUCUUCAUCUUUUUAUGUUUUCAUCUUAACCUAAUUUUUAUUAAGAAAAGUUCACUCCAUCCUCCGAACUUCACCAGUUAAAGUAAAAACCCUUCCCAUUGUUCGAUCCUAGAGCCACUAUGCUAUAGUAGCUUUGCUACUUUAGUGUAAGGACCUUAGGUAUAAAUUUUGUUGAUACCCUUACAUGCCAAGCUACCAAGAGUCGGGUUAUCACCAUUCUCAUGUCUACAUCAACGGACUGUCACGUCCAGUCCCGUACCUUCAACAAGUUGAAGGGAUGACAAGCUGUAUCAUAACGCGUCGUCUAACACAACCCCCAGCCGUCUUGCAGUUGUGAUGAUUACCCUGUCACUACUGCAUAGUCAUCAAUCACUACAAGAGCCAGCUCAGCACUAUUGUGUCCUCCACUUUUGGGUGCUAUAAAAACCCUAAUGAAAUAGAACAAAGAAAGGGGGCAACACGGUGAGUUCUCUCACCUACUCUCUCUCCCUCUUUCUCUCUCUAAGGGUUUAUAUUCAUUCCAAAGUCUGACUUAGGCUUCGGAGAGUGUAUUCGGACAACCCGUCCAACAUCUUCGUUUAGGUAAGCAAAGAGCCCAGAUUCUAGCAUCUGAAUAGGAACUUUUGCUGCCACUACCAAAGAAAGGAAUCCAUCCUCAGUUGACAUGGUAUCAACAGAAACGAUUCAAACUAGAGGUAAAGAUUUGAUUAUGAUUUCUUUUUCUUUUUCCAUUUUUUGUGCUUUGAUUGGUUACCGAGAAAAAUGGAGGAAGACAAAGAGAAAUUUUUAUCUUACAUUUUAUGUAGGUUUGGUUUUCUCAAAAAUGAAAAAGCUCUAAAGUUGCGUUAUUGUAUUAGGUUUAGCUUUGUGGAAACUUUUUUACUUGAACCCAAAUUUUGAUUUAUUUUUUUAUUUUCAUCAACCAGGAGGAAUUGAAAGAGAAGACGAGGGUUGAAAAAACCCUAAAGUAAAAUUGGUUUUUUUUUUCCAAAAAAUAAGGUGGAGUUUUCUCAAGAAAAUAUCGGUUUCCCACUCAAAGAUCGAAGUUGGCCCUUAGUUCAAUAAGAAGAUCCUCUAUCCUCUUCUCCAAAUGCUCCGCAAGUUACUCAAGAUAAUUUGAAGAAAAAAUCCUCAAAAUUCAAGUAAUCAAUCAAUUGGAUCAAAUUACAUUUGCAUUUCGAGCUCAUUUCUCCAAUUCACCAUAAAUCUUGCCUCUAGAUCCUUCUUCCUCCAAGAAAAAUGAGAUUUAGCCACUCAUGCUCAGAGAUUUGGUCUCACAAGGCAUAUUUAGCUAGCAAAAAAAUGAGAGAAAAUGAAGAAAAAUAGAGAAUUCUAUUAAGAGAGAAAAUAUAGAAAAUUCUACAAUAAAAAAUGUCUCAAAAGUUCUUUAAUGAGAAAUUCAAGUUUCUAUUUAUAGGCCAAGGUCAAGUGGACACUUGACAUCAUUUAAGAGAUUUUUUGGAAGCUUCUCCAUUCAACAAUUUGGAAUUAAUCAGCAAAUAACCAUUUUGCAUGAAGAAAACCAAUUUUGCAUGGUUGUGCAAAAUCAAUGGAGUAAUAGCAAUUUCAUUAGAUUCCUAGACCAUUUCGCAUGAUUGUGCGAAAUUUUCACAUGUUCAUGUGAAAUCAACUUGUAAAUUCUUCUUAGCCUGCAACACAAAUUUCUUUUCUAGCCCAUUUCUCACAAUCAUGCGAAAUUUUUAUAUGAUCAUGUGAAAUUGCAUCAUAUGGUUUUUAAGUUUCUCUUUGUUACUUCCUUCAUUUUCAUAUUUUGACUCCACUUUAACUACUUUUAGUUGACUCUAAUUCCCAAUCCAAUUACAUUCCAUCUUCCUCAAAAGAUUAUUUGUCAUCUUCAAUUUCAUUUCUUUCUUUUGUCACUCAAUGCAUCAAUAUUCACUUCGAAAUAACUCUAAAACUUCACAAAAAUCAGUAGUAUCUCUUGUAAGGGCAACAAUGUAUUAAUUGGGUAUGUUAGGCAUAAUUACUACUCAAAAAGUAUGAAAUUCAUGAUAAUUAUUAUUUAAAAUGUGUUAUUUUUAGUAGUAAUCACAAGUUAUCCCUCAAAUUAGGAGGUAGUGCACUAUAACUUUAGAUAGAUUGCCUAUGUCUAUGAACCAACUAUGAACAACUCAUCAACUUACAAUGAACCUAUGAUUUGAAUCUUUCAUGCAACUCUUAAUACACUAAGUCAUGUGUAAUGCAUGUGAUAUAGACCUAAAUGCUCAAAUAAACAUUAAUGUAAUUAGGGAUAAAAUAGUGAAAACUAAAUACUUAUUUAUUACAUCAUGUCAUGUUUUUAAGGGUUAUGUCUCAAUAGGUGACACAAUAAAAUAAAAUAAAAAACCAAGGAACCACCAAAAGGGUAAACACAUUCAGAUGAAGUAUAUUUUGUUUCGUGAGAUAGUUCAAAAAGGUAAUGCGACUAUGGAGCAAAUUCUUUUUGCAACACCCAUUUUGCUUUUAAGGCGAGCGAGGGAUUGUUAGGAUAUAACCAUUCAAAACGGUGAUAUGAUGUAACAUUUAAUUUCAUAAUAUAUUAUAUCAACUUUCUUUUCUAUUCUAUUUGCACUAAUUGCUAUAUUUAAGAAUUUAGGUCUAAUCACUUGUAUUGUAUGUGACUUGAGUACAUUAAGAGCUAUAUGAAAUAUUCAAAUCUUGGAUUUAUUACAAGUUGAUAAGUCAGUUCAUAGACUUGGGAAGUCCAAUAGAUUGGUUGGAAAACUUGUCUUGAUAAUUGGAAUGAGUUUCUCAUAGGGAGUGUUCUAGUGUAUAUGGUUAUAUAUCAAACAAGAUCUAUGAAGACUCAUAAUUAAAUGACUAUUAGGUUGUCAUGAUUACUUCAAGCUACUAUGUUACCAAGUUUUGAACCUAGAUAGAACAUUAAGCUAGUAUUAAGGUCAUUAGUCACUUUAACCUGUAAGAGAAAUACAUAGUUCUAAAAGGCACGCCUAGGCUCGGGGCGGCGCGACGCCACCGUCCGGCGCCUCACCCUAAGGGAGGCGAUGCCCCUUCACGAAGGCGCCGCUUAGGCGCGCAAGGCGCUCGCCUCUAGCAAGGCAUGAGGCGGUCGCCCGAGUCGCCUCCGACGAUCCGACCAAGUACGCACUCUUUCUCCUUCUCCUUCUCCUUCUUCUUCUUCUUCCUCCUACCGUCGAGAUGCAGAGAGGCGGCCCAAGCGGGAGCCCUAAAUUUUUUUUUUAUUUGCUGGGCCCAAAACGACGCCGUUUUGGCCUGUUCCUCCUAUCCAGCCCCUUUUUUUGGUCUUUCUCAACCUGAGACCAUUCCCAUUCUUUGCCUUAGCCUCUUUCAUGUUGGAAAAGUGAAGAAGAAAAAAAAAAAAAAAUAGGGGGGAAAUAGGAGAAAAAUAAAGGAAAAAUAGUCACGUACCUUCCGGACCUCGGUAUUUUGCUUUUUUCUUUACUUUUCUGCAUUUUUUUCCAUUCUUAUCUCAUAACUCUCAUUGGAAAUAUUUUUUUUAAAUAUAAAUAUUAUAUUUUGAGUUUUUGACAUGAAAAUUUUACAAAAUAAAAAUAAAUAAACAAAAAGCACUCAUAUGCAUAUUUGUUGUUAAUGUGAUAAUGUGAUAUGCAUUUUUUUUUCAAUUUUUUUUCUUAAUUUAAUUAUAAUUAUUUUAUUGUAGAGUAUAAAUAAUUUGUUUGCAAGAUGGAUAAUGAGAGUGAAACUCAAGUAGACUCUAGUGCAAGUGGAAGAAGAGAUCCGGGGUGGAAAUAUGGUCGUUUGGUUAAUGAAAAAGAUUUGAAUACCAUCAUAUGCAUUUUUUGUGAUAAAGUAACCAAAUGAGGCAUAUAUAGACACAAACAACAUCUUGUUGGUGGAUAUAGAAAUGCUAAAAAGUGUAGAAAAUGUCCAGAACGUGUUAAAGAAUAAAUGGAAGAGUAUAUGAGUUCCAAGAAAAAUCAAAAAGAGCAAAUGAAUAUGGGGAGCGAAUAUGUUAAUGAAGAUUUGUUUGGUUUGGAAGAUGAAGAUAUUGGUGAGGAGAUUAAUGGUAGAACGAAUGUCACCAAAAUUUCUAGUGGAGGUAGUAACCGAGGAGGAAGUGGUGGUAGGACAUUUUCUUCAAAAAAACCAAGACAAAAAGGUCCUAUGGAUCAUUUUUUCACUCCUAAUGCAGAGAUGGUUGUUCAAAAUCGAAGGAGUGGAAAGAUGAAUCAAACUACCAUCAAUGAUGCCUACAAAAAGGAAGCAAGAGAAAGAGCUUGUAUGCUUGUCACAAGAUGGAUGUAUGAGGCUGCUAUUCCAUUUAAUGCAGUCACAUAUCUGAGUUUCCAACCAAUGAUUGAGGUUAUUGGCCAAUAUGGUGUGGGUAUGAAGGGACCAACUUUUCAUGAGGUAAGAGUUACUAACCUUAAGAAAGAAUUGGCUCUCACAAAAGAUUUGAUGAAAGAUCAUAUGGUGGAAUGGGGGAAAAAUGGAUGUUCAAUUAUGUCGGAUGGAUGGACUGAUAGGAAAGAGGGAACUUUGGUGAACUUUUUGGUUAAUUGUUCAAAGGGAACCAUGUUCAUGCAAUCCAUUGAUGCUUCUUUAAUGAUUAAGAUGGGAGAAAAGAUGUUUGAGUUACUUGACAAAUGGGUAGAGCAAGUUGGUGAGGAGAAUGUUAUUCAAGUUAUAACAGAUAAUCACUUAAGUUAUGUGAUGGCAGGUAAUAAAUACUAUUUCUUGAAUUUUUAUUUACUUUUAAAAUUUGAAUUAUUUAUCUUGAGAAAUUAUGUAAAUUUAUUAUCUACAAUGUCAUAUAGGAAGGUUGUUAGAAUUAAAGCACCUACAUUUGUAUUGGACACCAUGUGCUGCACAUUGCCUUGACUUCAUGUUGGAAGAUAUUGGAAAGCUACCAAACAUCAAGAGGACAUUGGAGAGGGCUAUAUCACUAAAUCUGUAUAUUUAUAAUUGCUCAGGGCUACUCAACAUGAUGAGGCGGUUUACUGGACAAAGAGAAUUGCUUAGGCCUACUAAGACUCGGUUUGCAACUGCUUUCAUCACAUUAUCGCGAUUGCAUGAACAAAAAAACAAUUUGAGGAAGAUGUUUACAAACUCGGAUUGGUCAGAUAGUAAAUGGGCAAAAGAGCAGAAGGGGAAAGCUAUAGCCAACAUAGUUCUAAUGCCUUCAUUUUGGAACACUAUUGUGUUUUGCUUAAAGGUUUCAGGUCCCCUAGUUCGUGUGCUUCAUUUGGUUGAUGGUGAAAAAAAAGCUCCUAUGGGAUACAUCUAUGAGGCCAUGAAUAGAGCUAAUGAUACAAUUGUGAGAAGUUUUAAUGGAAAUGAAGAGAAGUACAAAGAAAUCUUCAACAUCAUUGAUAAGAGGUGAGAGAUUCAGCUUCAUCGGCCUUUGCAUGUAGCAGGGUACUUUUUGAACCCGAAAUUCUUCUAUGAUAAGCCAGAAAUAGAGCAUGAUGCCAAGAUUAUGAGUGAUUUGUAUAAAUGCAUCUUAAGGCUAACAAGAGACCUUGCUAAGCAAGAAAAAGUUGUGGCCGAAGUGAGUUUGUUCACAAAUGCCCAAGGACUAUUCGGGAAUGAGUUAGCUGUUAGGACAAUAAAGACUAGAGCACCAGGUUAGUUAUUUAGUUUUGUUUAUUUAAAUGAUUAGAUUGUAUUUUUGCUAAAAUAGGUGAAUUGUUUAACUAAAUUGUUAAUAUCUAUACUAUAGCUGAAUGGUGGGCUGCAUAUGGAGCUUCAGCUCCAAAUUUGCAAAAGUUUGCAAUGAAAGUCCUCAACUUAACAUGUAGUGCAUCAGGUUGUGAACGGAAUUGGAGCAUCUUUGAAAAUGUAAGUGACCAAAUCCAAAAUAAUUACAAGUAAUAGUCUAAUAGAGUCUUGAAUGUAACUUAAAAGUUAAAACUUUAAAAUAUAUUUAUGAGCUUAUGAAUUUUUGCAGAUUCAUAGCAAGAGGAGAAAUAUGUUAGAUCAUCAACGCUUGAAUGAUUUAGUGUACAUUAAGUAUAAUCGAGCGUUGAAGAGAAGAUACAAUGAACGUAACACCAUUGACCCAAUUUCCUUGAAAGAUAUAGAUGAUAGCAAUGAAUGGUUGAUAGGGAGAAUGGAAGAUGAAGAUUCUCAUGGAGGUGCACAAGAUGAUUUUGUAUUUGAUGAUGAUAAUUUGACAUGGGGUGAUGUUGCUAGAGCUGCUGGAGCUGAGAAGGCCAGGUUUGAUACUAGAGCUAGGGCUAGAGCAAGCUCAAGCAUAAUACCACCAACAAGGGGGAUAGCUUCAAGUUCUAGAACUUUGCCUUCUCAUUCACUAAUAAAUGAAGAUGAAGAUGGAGACAUGGUUGAUUCAGCAGAUGAAGAAGAUGGGGAAGGCUACAAAUGUGGUGAUGGAAAUGAUGAUGAUGAUGAUUUUGUUGAUUUAGAGGAGGAGUGAUGAUUGCUUGUUGUGGACAAAUUUGUGAUUUAAGUGUUUUUAAUGAUGUUUUUGAAUUGUGGACAAAUUUCAUGUUUUGGACCUUUAGGUUCGGAAACUUUGGAUUUGGAUAUGUAUUAGGCAAUUAGCAAUAUGGAUUUGGAUUUGUUUUUAUGCUUGGAGUUCUUUAUUUUUAUGUUUUUUGUUUAUUAAAUUGAAGUUUUGGAUGAUAUUUGAUGAUUUAUGUGUUUAGGACAAAUAAAUGAUUGUUAAAUUUGAUUAUAUUAUAUAAAAAUAUAUAUGUAAAUUAGGGUGCGCCUCACUUCACUAAAGCCCGCACCUUAGAUGCGCCUUGCGCCUCAGGCUCCAGGACUACUUUGCGCCUUGAGCCUUUUAAAACUAUGGAGAAAUACUAGAGUGAUUACACAUUCCCUAUCGAUUAGGUAACUAAUGAUUUAGGCAAGUGGUAACAAGUAUUUUCAAUAAAGGUACCAUAAUAUCUCAUGAGUUUGAUAUAGUAUGCCCCCCUUGAAUAAUCCUUAAGACUUAUGAUCAUGAAAUCUAUGGUCAUAACAACCCUUUUAGUGGAAUUUGACAUGUCAUUUAUGAACAAAGGGAUAGAGAUAAGUAACAACGAAGGGAUCACCUACAUAGGCUAAGAGAUAGACUUUUUUUACCAUGGGAGUAGGAGCAAGCUUAACUUGAUCCAUAUAAGCUUUGUGGAGGAUCUCAAUGAUGUAUUUUUGUUGAGAUAAAAUAACACCUUAAAAAGUGAAAGUGAGUUCAAGCUUAAGGAAAUAGGAUGAGGUCCCAAGAUCUUUCAAGGCAAAUAAGGCUUGAAGCUGCAUGAUGAAGUGCUACACCUAAGUAGAAGAGCUCUCAGUGAUGAGAAUAUCAUCCAUAUAGAUAAAGAUGUAGAGAGAGUGGCUACCUUCAAACUUGAGGAAGAGAAAAAUAUCAACUUUGGAAAAGUGAAAUCCAAGUUGAUGAAACAAAAGGUGGAUGCAUUCAAACCAGGCCCUAAGGGCCUGCUGGAGUCUAUACAAAGUGUGAUGGAGUUUGCAUACCCAACUAAGAUGAGAAACGUCAAUAAACUCAGGAGAUUGGACCAUAUAGAUGUCUUUCUUAAGAAUGUCAUUAAGGAAGGCAUUGUUAAAAUCAAGUUGUCGCAUAAGACAUGUGAGAGAUGACAAAGCUAGAACCACCCAAAUUGUUGUAGGUUUGAUGACAAGACUAAAAGUAACAUGAAAAUCAAAACCCAAAACCUAGUGAAAUCCUUUAGCCACCAACCUCGCCUUAUACUUAUUCAUUUAGCCAUCUAAAUUUUGUUUGACCUUGAGUACCCAUUUAUAACCUACAACUUGACAAUUGGAGGGUGGUGGAACCAAGGACCAAGUGUUAUUGGAGCAAAAGACCUAGAACUCCAACUCUAUAGUGGCACGCCAUUCAAUGAUGGAUAGGCUUCAGAAAUUGAAUGAGGGGAUAGAGGAGAUGAAGAGAUACAUGUGGAUAACAAUGUUUUUGGUUUGAAAAUGUUACACUUGGAGUGGGUGAGCAUGGGAUGUGUGUUGUGAGAAAUUGAAAAAAAAAGAUGUAGUGACAACAUUUCUUCCCAUCAAAACUAUGGUGCCUUUAUGAUCAAUUUCUUAAUACCAUUAUAAAAGUUGUACAAAAUGAAAAUGUGAGGAAAAAGAGAUUUUUUGUGAAGGCUCCAUAUCAUUUGUUGUUCAUUUUACAACACUAUUGUCUUUUAUAUGCAGUUUUGUUAACUGAAAUAUAUUCUAUAAUUGACUAAACAGAUCCCUAGUUAUCCCACGCAUUGUGAAUCUUUAUUGAUGUUAGCUUCACAUGACUUUGCUAUUCCAUGUGAUCUUCCACUAAGGUUGCUAAAGUCAUCUUCUUGACAAUAACAAAGUAAUUUAUUCCCUUUCAAGUUUUUCUUUUACCAUCCUUAUCUAGAUCAAUAAUUAGGGAUGGUGAUUUGUUUGUCAAUUGGAUCACAAUGCAUAUCAAACCAACAUGUCUAUUUUCAUUCAAUGUCACCUCUUGUUGAGAUGUAGGAGAUUUUACUAUAAUACAUUAGUGGUCUGUUUUGUAUUGGCAAAGACUCUUUAUAAUUACUAUUAACUAUAGUAUAAGUAUUUGUGAAAGCUAUUUAUAAUUACUAUUAACUAUAAGUAAACUUAUUGCAAUUAAGUUAACGACUAUAUGGGUACGAUAUCUCUCAUGCCUUAUGAAUGAUGGUUGAGAUUUCUAAAUGGGUGAGAUUUCUUACUGUUAAUUGAUCAUACAAUCUUAUAAUUGGGUUUGUUAAAGAUGUUUCUUUAUAAUUGGGUCAUUGAUAAUUGUUUUGGAAGGUUGAUACAAAUUCGAUAAAGCUAAAGAAGCAAAGGGCACCCUUCAAUUGAUUAAGCCAGUAAAUUAAACAAGUUUAGGCAAUUGGAUUCAUUAAGGGACGAAUUGGGUUUGUUUUGCCAUGCUAUCAUAGGAAUAAUAUGGAUUGAAUUAAACUAUCCUAUCGUUGUAAUCGAAACGAAACCAUUGAGGAAUAUAAAUCAAUCUCCAUUCAUACCCUAAUAAAAUUCUAAAAAUAAAUAAUUAACUUGCAUAUUUAACUUAAGCUUAAUUGAUGCUCCUUGAGGUAUGAUUGAAAUUAAUUUAUAAAAAUUUUAAAAUAAAAUUUCAGCUUAUUAUUUAAAAAAAUUAAAACUUAGCAAAAGGUUAAGUAAUAAUUUAAAUGAUUUUAUAGAAAUAAUUUAAGACUUAAAAAUAGCUUAAUACAUAAAUUAAAAAGAUUGCCUUUUUCAGUUUAUAGAAAAAUUUAUUUGAUGUUGAAUAAAUACCAACAUUAAAGGUAAGAAAAAAAUUAAGAUAAAGAUUCUAUUUAUACCAAUUUUCUCAAUAAUUCCAAAAGUUUGAGACCGUGUUCAAACUUGAUGUAAAUCUACCUAAAUACCAUCAUCACUACCAUUAAAUAUACGUGACCAUCGUCUAUAAAAUUUAUUUUUCAAAAAUAGUUUAAAUAGAAAAACUUUAGUUAGUGUGUUAACUAAAAAUAUAAAUUUUAUAUAGGGAAUAUUACAUCAAACCACAUAGUAAAAUUAGUCUCUCAUUUUAAUUUUAUCCCAUCAGUAGACUUUAUCACUCAUACAUCAAUUUUGUUCCAUGAACCGUUCCAUCCUUUUAUCCUACAUCUCAGCGCACCCAAUCACACCUCCAAUCCACCCACAGCCACACCCACAGCAGCCAGCGGUUCCACCGCAAGUGGUUCUUCGCAUAAGCUUCCCAUAUUCAUCACGAGAAACACACAACCAAUUAAUAAAUUCUGAUUAAUUUAAAAGAUAAAAAAUAAAAAAAUAAAAACGAUAUAAUCCAAGAAAAUCCACCACAGGGGUGUUUUUGGGCUCCCGAGCGCUAGCUCUCAGAUCUGAAGUUCUAACCCAAGAAUCCCAGGUACUUUUUGUUUCAAUCUCUUCAUUUCUUGUUAUAGUUGGUCUAUAAAUUUUCAAAUUUCUAAUUUUGUGAGAAAGGAGGAAGAAACCAAAUAUGGGUGAAAAAUUUUGGUUGAAUGAAGAGGAAAAGGCUAUGGUGGAGUCAGUAUUGGGUGCAGAAGGGUGGGAGUUUUUGAUCUCGUGCGCUUCUGAUAAAACCCAUUUGUCAGAAUCGGGUGUCGCAUCCAGUGAUGGUGGUGUCCAGAAGGGGCUUCGUCAGCUUGUUGAAGGGUCUAAUUGGAGUUACGCCAUAUUCUGGCGUGUUUCGAGGGUGAAGGAUGUGUUGAUUUGGGGUGAUGGAUAUUGUAGAGAGGCAAAAGGGGAGGUUGGUGAUGGUGGUUUGGAGGAAGUGGGGAAGAAGAAGGAGGUGCUGAAGAAGCUUCAUGAGUAUUUUGGGGUUGGGGAGGAGGAUAAAUACUGGGCUAAAUUGGAUUUGUUGUCAAACAUCGAGAUGUUUUAUCUUACUUCGAUGUUUUAUUCGUUUUCGGGUGAUUUGCAGUAUGGCCCUGCUCUGGUGCUUAAGUCUGGGAGAUGGGUUUGGGUUGUUGAUGCAGUUGGUUGUUCAGAUCAGUAUCGGGCAAGGUCGGUUUUGGCAAGAUUGGCAGGGUUUCAGACAGUUGUGUUUGUGCCAGUGAAGGAUGGGGUGAUUGAGGUUGCUUCUUUAAUGUUGGUUAAGGAGGAUGAGAAUGUUGUGAAGAUGAUUAAGGGUGUAUUUGGGGGGAUGAAUUUUGGGCAGGCGAAGGUGUAUCCAAAAAUAUUUGGGCAUGAACUUAGUCUUGGUAGUGGGGCAAAGUCACGGUCAAUGAGUAUUAAUUUUGCCCCCAAGUUGGAAGGGGAUUCAGGGUUUGGUGCAGAAUCAUAUGAUGUCCAAGGCUUGGGUUCAAAUCAGGUUUAUGGGAAUUCCUCUAAUGGGUGUAUGAAUGAGGAUAAUGAGGGGAAAAUAUUCCCUCAGCUCAAUCAAAUAUUUAAUGCUCAAGUAUUGGUUUCUGGUUUUGAGCAGCCUAAGGAUGACUUGUUGCCUAGGGUUGAUGAACGAAAACCUAGGAAGAGAGGAAGGAAGCCAGCUAAUGGGAGAGAAGAGCCAUUGAAUCACGUGGAAGCUGAGAGGCAGAGGAGGGAGAAGCUUAACCAAAGGUUCUAUGCAUUAAGAGCUGUUGUUCCUAAUAUAUCCAAGAUGGAUAAGGCCUCGUUGCUUGGUGAUGCCAUUUCAUACAUUACUGAUCUCCAGAUGAAGAUUCGGAUAUUGGAAGCUGAGAAGGAGAUUGUAAACAAUAAGCAAAACCAAUCACCUGUGCCACAGAUCGACUUUCAGGAUAGGCAGGAGGACACAGUUGUAAGAGUUAGCUGUCCCUUGGAUGCUCAUCCUGUUUCUAGAGUCAUAAAGACGCUUAAGGAACACCAAGUUGUAGCUCCAGAGGCUGAAGUUUCCACUAUGGAAAAUGAUAAGGUCCUUCACACGUUCUCCAUUCGGACUCAAACUGGUGCUGCCGAGUGCUUGAAGGAGAAGCUGGUAGCUGCCCUUUCAAAAUGAUUUGUCUGUAGAUUUUGCGUUUGUAAGAUGAAUUCUAAUGAAUGAUAUACAUCGUCCUGCUGAAAUUCGGGAUGUCUUGUUAUUGACUAACUAAUGUGUGUGUCUUCCUUUGUUGUUAAUUGUUUCUUAUCUGGCUCAGAUUGAUUGCUUCCUUUCAAAGUGAUCUGACUGUAAAGUUGUGUUUGUAAGAUGAUAUCAAUGCAUGCUAUGCAUUUCCCUGUAGAAAAACAUGGAAACACAUCGUUGCUGGCGAAUUGGUGUUUGGUAUUUGAUAUUUAAUGAGUUCUAUAUGACUUCAGACUGCUCAUUCAAACUUCUUCAGCCAAUUUUGUGAUAUUCAAAAACAGAGUAUGUUCUGUGAUAUCUAUGCAUUGUUCAACACUAUAAAGUUCAUGAAGCUGAUUAAGGAAUGUAGAGGCGGCAAGAUUACUAGGGAAAACCUAUACCGGUAAUUUCUUCUUGACCUGAAGCAUCUUGAUUAAACUAAGGAUAGUUUGCAUUUCCUCUUGAUUGACCAUUCCAUUUAUUGGCUUCCUACUCAAGUCUACAUUUGGAUACCUAUUUUGAUUAUUUGGAUACCUAUUUUGAUUAUUUGGAUACCUAUUUUAAUUACUCUGGUCUACAUUUGGAUACCUACAUUUGGCUUCCCAGUCGGGUUUUGAGGGUUUAGGGUUUGGUUCUUACACAAUAAUACACAAGAAAUGGAAACUUUGCUUAUUUGCUUUCAAGAAAUUGAAAAUUCACUAGGACUAAAUUUUCUGCAUCAUUGUUGUUUCUUUUUUAAUUUAUUUUCAAUUGCCAAGAAAACCAAAAUGAAACAAAAGAAGGGAAAAUCAUUGCAGCAUCAAGAAUCAUGAUAUGAUUCCCAAGAGAUUGAAAAAAAAUUUUCACUAAAUCUUGUGCAAAAAUUGCUAUGCUGGUAUUGCCUUCAUUUUGCCUCAAGUUUAGAUUUUCCUUCUCUUUUUUUUUUUUUUUUGUGUCGCCGUGUCUGAUUUCUUGUUCUAUUAGGAGUGAUAACAAGUGAUUUAUACUUUUGGGAAACCGAGUAUCGGUGAUAGUGGAUAUCUUUGGGGUUUAUGACUUAUGCUUGGUUUAUUACAAAACAUAAACAUGAGAGAGAACAAGAGUAUACUUAUUGCUUUUUCAAAUUCUUAAAGUGAGUUUAUGUUUAGCUUCACCCAUUUAUGAUUUUUUUUUUUUAUAAGAGACGAGAAACCGAGAGUUUGAUUGCUAGAAGAGUGGUAGACCACACAAACUUUUAUCUCAAACUCAGAUGGUAGCCCCACUUAAUGCAGAUGAUGCAAUUUACUAAGGUGUACUCCUACUUCUCUACUCUUCUUAAUUCAUCUUCUCUGCAGAGUGAAUAUAUUUUCUUUGUUUUUGAAUGCUUAUGAAACUUACCUUUUUGAACAAGUAACACAAUCAUUUUUCAUGUAAUAGUUCAUUGAACUAUUGAGUAACCUAAGUACUGUUUCAGAAGUCUAGGAAUUCUUUUUGUUUGGUAGGUCAUGGGAUCUUGUUGUCUUUAAUGAUAUUGUGUUGAACCCAAGGGUGGGUUUGUAGUUCUUAAAAUUGGUAAUAGCUUCAUAGUAUGGAAAUGAGAUUUUUUUCAUGAUGCGACCUGGAACUGGAAUCUUGUAAUACUGUUUCCGAACUUUGUAGUAAUUAUAUGUUAUAUAUUUUAGAAAUAUUUUUAUAAAGGAGCAAAGAAAAAUUACAAUCUUUUCUCGACUUUAAAUGAUAUUCAUUCUGAAAUUCUUUCUUUUCAUCAUAGUAAUUUUUUUAUUUUUUUUUUAUGAACUUGUUGGUGUUACGAAUUUGUUGCAAGUUUCCUCAAAAUCUGGCAGUAGGAAUUUGCAAACUAGGUGUCAUAAUCAAAUAAUACUCAUUUAAAAAAAUUAAGGUUCCACGAGGGCAUAAAUUGUUUGACUUCAACAAGAUGCCCAUAAAAUAUGUAGAUGCCUCGCCUCUUUGAGAUGACUUUUCCUGUUCCAAGCCAAUUUACUUGGCAUACUGCAACAAGUUAUGGAAAUUGGUCCCGCAUCUCACUAAUCAAUCUUUUCAUGAAUACUUCCCUUAAUAAAUACUUUUAAAUAAUUGAAUGCAAAAAAUAAGUAAUAAAUAAAAACUAUUUAAAUUUUAAAUUCUUUCAUAUAUAGAAACAUUUUUAUAAUUUUAAAUUCAAUAUUAACAUUUUUAUUUUAUGGAAGCCUUUAUGAUUUCUCAUAAUAAAUUUGAAUGACCAGAAUUACUUUUAAAAUGAAGUAAAAGAUGGUGUGAUUGAUUCUUUUAUGCCAUUGUUGUAAGUAUGUUAUGCUUAUAAAACUAUUUUGGCACUUGAUUUAUAAUCCGUGUGGUAGUAAUUUUAGAAAGCUCUUUUAAUAUUUUUAAUACUUGAAAAUUUUUAUCAUUUAAGUGUUAGAAAAGUUAAAAAUGUUUUCUAAAAUCACUCCCAAAUGCACUCUUAUUAUAAGUAAUUUUGUUUUGGUAUCUUGAAUUAGAUUGAACUAGAUGGCACGAGAGUCACACAUAAUAUUUUGUUGGUUAUUAUCUCAAUUUGUGUUACUAUUAUGUUAAAAGUACAUUUUUAUCGUUCCAUUUCUUUUGAAAAAGAUUCAUAUCAAAUUAUUUUAUGUUUUAUUGUAUUUUGUCAGUUAACUAAUUCAUACCAAAGAAAAAGUACACAUAAUGUUCUUGUUGUUGAAUACAUAGUGGUGGAUUUCACCAAUUGUGGUAAAUAGAUUACAGACCUACUAUCUGUAAUUCUUUACAAGGUUUUUAACAAAUGAGAAAGUCACAUGAUGAGAUUGUACUUACCUUCACUUCAGUUGCAAGGAUAGUUGUAUUGGUUUGUAGGAGGUAUUACAUCUUUUAUAUGAGAUUCCAUUAUUACUUUGCUAAGAAAUGAGAAUAGUUAACUCUCACUAAAAAAAAAAGAACCUAGCACUAAUUAAACAUUUGGACUUUAAAGCCUAGGUUAUUUUAAUCUAAAUAGGAUCCAAAGACUGGUUAGCUCUAGACAUUAUGAUUCCAGAGGUUUGUCAAUUUAUGAAUCCUGUAUAGAUGGUAAAAAUGACUAAUAAAUCUUUUAUUACUAAAUGACAUAGAACCAAUGAAUGUUUGGAAUUAGUGCAUACUUAUGUGUGUGAAAUUUUUGGAGUUCAUACAUAGAGAGGGUAUGGGUACUUUAUUAUUAUUUUUGUGAAUAUCGAAUGGGAUUGUUCAAAUCCUUUAAUAUAAUGGGGUAUAGUGUUGACAUCUUAGAUCUAAGCAAUAGAAGCAAUAUCAAAAUUUAAAAAAUUAAUCUUUUUGUGUUAAAGUACUUACCUUUAGGUUUGGAUGAUUUAAAACAUUGAAUCCAAGUAUUAAAAAAUUGAUAGAAGACAAAAAAUUGAUGGAAACCCUAACCCUAUGGGGUAUUUAUAGGGUUCCUAACUAGGCUUAAGUGACUUAAUAUGUUUACUAAAUGGGUUAUCUGAUUUUACCUUAAGUUCAUUAAAUUUAUCCGAGGCAUCAAAUUUUUUAUGUACUAGGUACACAUAUCUAAACUUAGAGUAUACUCAAACAAUAAUUUUGGUUAUUUCGAAUGAUAGAGUUUAGGAAUCUUGAUUGCAGAGAAGUUUAAUACAAAUGUGGUAAUAUUCCCUAAAAACAUUAUAACGAAAUAUGAUGUGAAAAAAAAAUCGAUUUGCUAUAGGAACUAAGAUGGAUACUGCACAAUAAUUUUGGUUCCUUCGAAUGAUAGAGUUCUAAAAUCUUGAAGGCAGAGAACUUUAAUAAAGAUGUGGUCAUAUUCCUUAAAAUCAUCAUAAUGAAAUUUGGUGUCAAAAGUGAUCAUUAAAAUUCUUGAAUAUACUUUAGUAUUGUCUUGCUCAAAUAUAGUAGCAAACUAGUUUUUUUUGCACCAAAAUUCGUUAUGAUGAGGUUAAGGAAUAUAUUCACAUCUGUUGUAGCUUUAUUCCAUGUGAAGGUUUUGAAAACCCUAUAAUUCGUUAUGAUUUUAUUUUGCACAAAAUUUUGUUAUGAUGUUGUACGCACAAAUUUUGUAAAAUUUUGGUCCUGCAAAAAUUAGCAAAAUAAAAUAGGAAAAAUAAUGUGAACAAAUGAUUUAUUAAAUUUAAGAAUAUUACGGGUAUAAUCUCAAAAAAUAAAAUAAAAUUCUUUCCAACAAAGAGUAUUUUCCUUCUGAUUCUUUUGCUUUGAUCACACUUUGGAAGACGACAAUGACGUUUUCUUGAUUUCAAAGGUCAAUCGAUGGUCACAAGUGGCUUAUUCCCGAAUGACCUUGUUGAAUGACAAAGAACGAGUGUAUUAGUUCUUUUACCGCUUACUAAACUUGUAGGGAGAUUUGAUGAAACUCUUUCUUUUAUUGUGAAGCUCCUUUUCCCGUACGAAGUUACCUUUAAAUUUUCUCCUUAGGAUUUUCCUUUCUGGAAAUUUUCUCUGAUUUCUGAAUUUUCUCUCCCCUCUUUCUUGAUGGAAGACACCUCUAUUUAUAGGUGAAGAUAGGUAAUUUGAAUUUCAAAUUCCCCAAUUUUAGUUGCUUAAUUCAAGGGAUUUAGUUCCUUAAUUUUAGCAAAUUUUCUUCUCCGGGAGGUUUUACCAACAAGAUAAUAAUAAUAAUAAUAAUAAUUUUCUUAUUAUUAUUAUUAUUAUCCUUUUUAUAGUUGGAAAUAAGAGAGACUUAUCCAUAAGAUGAUUUUUUUUUUAGAAGACCAAAUUAGUGGUAAUUUAAUCCACUAAUUUUUUUAUGUCUACAAAUGUCCCCACUUCAAAACGCAUCACGUACAUGCAUUGUCAUGUGGAUGGGGUGAGUCUUGAAGUAAUAAUUUUUUUUUUUUUUUUUUUUUACACUUUAACUUUUUCCAAGACUAAAAAAAGAUUUAAUCUUGCGAGCAUAUGUCCUAACUUUUGCCUAAGUCGCCUUUUCAAGUUUUCAACUUAGCGAACUUUUUAUUUUAUUUUUUUUUAUUUUUUAUUUUUUUAUGCGUCGUACGCAGUUUAUGCUCAUGCGGGCCAAGAACAUCACUUGUCUUGAGUUUGAUCGAAGGAUGAUAAACUCACGUCCUUGGAACAAAGUUUAAUUGAAGGUCAAGAUGACUUAUUUUCAACCAAACUUGUAAAGACCUUUCUUAAGCAUUUUGGAGAACAAAGAAGUCAUUUGUCUUGAUUUUCUUCAGUCUUAAAAGUGGAUGAAUGACACUUUUGUAUUGUGUUUGGUAUUCUUCCACGAGCUUGUUAAAGAAUGUGUCAAGCUUGGACUUGAUUUUAAUCCAAGAGUGGUAACCACAUGUUUUUGGAGCAAAAUUUAAAUGAUGGUCAAUGAUGACUUGAUCUUAAGUAAACUUAUCAACAAUUUCCUCAAGUGUUUUGAAAAACCCAAUCUUUGUCUUCUUUAACUUUGAAGGUGGAUGAAUGACACUUUUGUUUGUGUUUGAUAUUCUUCCACGAGCUCGUUGAAGAAUGUUUGGAGUUUGAUUUUGACUUUUGAAGCUUCAUUUGGAUUUAGCCUCUAAGUUGCAUCACCAUUUGAGAACGUGUCAUGCUAAAAGAAAAUAACACUUGUAUGUAGAGAAGUUGGAGAUUUUAGUUUGGAAUCUUCGAAUUUGACUUCUUUAAUGUAAAGAGUCUAUUUCUUAGUUUAAGAAGUUUGCCAAUAUUUUUUUAUUUAUUUUUUAUUUUUUUACUACAAUUUAAGCUCUUGUAGGAUAGGAGAAAUAUGUAGUUUAGGCUCAUGCUUUAAUGAGCAUCACUAGAAUGCCGAGGUUUGAAAACAAUUGUGGUAAACUUUGAUGUUAUGCUCUUUUCAUUGCUGCUGGUGUAGGUGAUGUUUACACAGCAUGUUGCACAAUCGUGGUCUUUGUCCUUAAAUCGUUUUAUCCCCUUUAUUUUUAUGGCAUAGAGUGAUGGAUUCUUAAGUACCUCAUCAUUUUCCUUGGUUUUGCUUGGCUCUGCACCAAAAGCGUUUUCUUCAUCUUUACCUGACUCAUCUUCUUCCGAAAUCUCAUGACAAGAGACCAUAUGAGUUGAUGUCACCAUCCCUCUAUUGAAGAACUCCAGAGGGAAGUGUUCUCCUAAGGUGAUAGGGGUGAUGAGCUUUUGUGCCAAGAGGUCAUCAACCUGUACAAUCGUUUGUUUUCUUUUAGGUUUCUUUUCUUCUUUCUUCUUCGCAUAUCGAUGAAUAUUUUGCUUACGUUGUUCCUUCCUAGGAAGAUUUGGGUAGGGAUGAGAUUCUUGCUUCUUGUGAGGUCUUUUCCGUGUCACCAAUGUCCAACCUUCUUCGUUAUACGACAUUGAUUUAUUCUCAAAAUGGAAGUGACGAAUGGUGUCUUGACAUGACACUUGUGUUUGCUUUGGUUUCGUUGACUCACAUUAGAUAGUAUCGGCGCAUGCCCCCAGUGUCUUAGGUGGAACAUGUAACAAAACAGGAUCAAGGGACCCAAAUGUGACUGUAGCAUGAUUUGACUCUACUACUUCAUCCAGAUCCAGAUGAAUUCUUCCUUGUUUUGCAAGUUUCAUUAUAAGAUCUUUUAAGAUGAAACAUUUCUCCACUGGGUGACUGAUGAUUUGAUGGUAAUGAUAAUAAUUCGGAUCAUUAACACGACCCAUUUCUUCUGGAUGCUUGCACUUAGGUAGCUUAAUAACCAUUUUCUGGAAUAGGUCUUCCAACAUGCUAGGCACAUCAGAGUCAGGAAAAGGAUACUUCUUCUCCUCUAAUUCCUUUAAGCUUAACUGACACCUCUCAUUUUCCUGGGUUAGUCUAGCCUCUUUUAUUUCCUUUUUUUUAUCUCGCAUUGAGAUUUUGAUAGGAGUUGCAUUACUGUCAUGGACUCUUGGAUGGGUUUUAUUGAAUUCUUAUCACUUGCUUUCCCAUUGUGUCUUUUUCUUUACUAGUCAAUGAUAAGGUCCUUUUUAGCAUCAUGGUUGGCUAUGCUAAGCUCCAUGUCAUGUGCUCGGGUAGCUAACUCUUCAAAGGUCCAGGGUCGUAUCCCUUGGAGAAUGUAUAGGAGACCCCAAUGCAUUCCUUGUAUGCACAUCUCCACGACUGAUACCUCAUAUAAUCUAUCUUUGCAGUCGAGGCUUAAGGAACGCCAACGGUUGAUAUAGUCUACAACCGGUUCAUCUUUCCAUUGCUUAGUGUCAGUAAGUUCCAUCAUACUUACAGUUCAUCGGGUGUUAUAGAAACAGUUGAGGAAUUCACGUUCCAUUUAGUCCCAACUAUCGAUACACUCUGGUGCAAGGUCUAUGUACCAGUCGAAAGCAUUCCCUUGAAGAGAAAGGACGAAUUGUUUAACUAAUAAGUCACCAUCUGUACCUGCAUUGUUACAAGUUUCAACGAAAUGGACAUGUUGUUUUGGAUUGCCUUUUCCAUCAAAUAAUUGAAAUUUUGGAGGUUGAUAACCCAUGGGCAUAUGUAGGUUAUCAAUCCUCUUAGUGUAAGGUUUUGAGUACAUGAACAUACUCUGUGAGGAUCCAUCGUACUGCGCCCUAAUGGUGUUAGUUCUCAUGUCCUAAAGUUGUUGGACAGAUAAUGACGCCACUAAGGCAAAUUCCGUCGUUUGUCUUUUACCUUACAUUGUCCUAUAUGUAUGUGGUGCAUCAUCGAGAGGAGAUGCAACAUUCGAAGGGUGGUUGAGUCCGUGACUUGACUCACCCGUACUUUGUACUUGUGCCUCAACCUUGUUUAUGAGGGAGGUUAUCUGCAUAUCCUUCUCAUCAACCAUUUUGGUGAGUUUGGCGAUGGCACGGGCCAUUUCUACCAAUUGCUCCUCUACAGACGUAGUGCCCAUUGCCAUUACCGGCAUGGUCAACGAGAAGGGAAAAGUAACAGAGUUGGAAUGAUUGGAGUAGUUUUCCUCCUUUGACAUUCCAAUUAGCGACCCGAAGCAUGAGCCGGUGCUAGAGUUAGCAUCGGUAAUAGAGCAAGGAGAUUUAUCCCCAAAGUCCUGUAGUGUUGAAGGGAGUUUUCCCCUACUACGAGGACUAUGGCCCUUUGCCCCCAAAGAAACCAAGGUGAUGAGUGGUUGGUACUCAUCGCGUGUUCUUACCUGUUUUAGCAAACAAGCAAACUCACUUGUUUGUUUUGUUGAGAUUGAAGAUGUUGAUUUUGCUUUGCUAUGAGUCAUGGGGACCGUAGCGGUGUCAUGUGUCGAUUGUGCAAUGACGAUCAUGUCAUUGCCCUUGUUGACAUGCACAACUUAAGUUCUUUUGGGUGCCAUCGACGUAGUAGAGAUCAAAUUUCUAACAAAAGAUAUGAGAGGCAGAGAGGUCCCACCGGGCGUGCUAGAAAUUUGUAUGCACAAAUUUUGUAAAAUUUUGGUCCUACAAAAAUUAGCAAAAUAAAAUAGGAAAAAUAAUACGAACAAAUGAUUUAUUAAAUUUAAGAAUAUCGUAGGUACAAUCUCAAAAAAUAAAAUAAAAUUCUUUCCAACAAAGAAUAUUUUCCCUUUGAUUUUUUUACCUUGAUCACACUUUGGAAGAUGACGAUGACGUUUUCUUGAUUUCGAAGGUCAAUUGAUGGCCACAAGUGGCUUAUUCCCGAAUGACUUUGUUGAAUGACAAAGAACGAGUGUAUUAGUUCUUUUGCCGCUUAUCGAACUUGUAGGGAGAUUUGAUGAAGCUCUUUCUUUUAUUGUGAAGCUCCUUUUCCCGUACGAAGUUACCUUUAAAUUUUCUCCUUAGGAUUUUCCUUUCUGGAGUUUUUCUUUGAUUUCUGAAUUUUCUCCCCUCUCUUUCUUAAUGAAAGACACCUUUAUUUAUAGGUGAAGAUAGGUAAUCUGAAUUUCAAAUUCCCCAAUUUUAGUUGCUUAAUUAAAGGGAUUUAGUUCCUUAAUUUUAGCAAAUUUUCUUCUCCGGGGAAGUUUUACCAACAAGAUAAUAAUAAUAAUAAUAAUUUUCUUAUUAUUAUUAUUAUUAUUAUCCUUUUUAUAGUUGGAAAUGAGAAAGACUUAUCCAUAAGAUGAUUUUUUUUUUAGAAGACCAAAUUAGUGGUAAUUUAAUAUACUAAUUUUUUUAUGUCUACAGAUGUGUUUAAGGGAUAUGACUACAUUAGUACAGAAUUUUAUCGCCAUCUAGAUUUGGGAAGCCUAUUAGUUGUAGGAAUCAAAAUUAUUGAUUGGUUAUAUCAAAAUUGAUCCAUAAAAUUCUUUAAUAUAGUCUUGCUCUGUGGUAGCAAACUAGUUUUUUUCGCACAAAAAUUCAUUAUGAUAAUUUUCAGGAAUAUAACCACAUUUGUAUAAAUUUCUUCCCCAUCAAUAUUAUUAAACCCUAUAAUUCGAUAAAACCAAAAUUAUUAUUUGAGUAUAUCAAAAGUGAUGGUGAAAAUCCUUUAAUUUAUUAUGCUGUUGUUAUACUCGGUUUCGAUAACAAACUUAUUUUUUCGCAUGAAAUUUUGUUAUGAUGUUUUUAAGGAAUAUGACUAUAUCAAUAUAGAAUUUCUCCGCCAUCUAGAUUUGUGAAGCCUAUCAUUCGUAGGAAUCAAUAUUAUUAUUUGGUUAUAUCAAAAUUCAUCAUUAAAAUUCUUUAAUAUAUUGUAGUAUUGUCUUGCUCAGUUAUGGUAGCAAACUAGUUUUUUCCACACCAAAAUUCAUUAUGAUAUUUUCAGGAAUAUGAUCACAUUUAUAAUAUAUUUAUUCCCCAUCAAAAUUAUUAAACCCUAUAAAUCGAUAAAACCAAAAUUAUUGUUUGAAUAUAUAAAAAAUGACGGUUAAAAUCCUUUAAUAUAUUAUGUUAUUGUUUUACUCGGUUUCGAUAACAAAUUUAAUUUUUUUUCACACAAAAUUUUGUUAUGAUGUGUUUAUGGAAUAUGACCACAUAAGUACAAAGUUUCACCGCCAUCCAUACUUGGGAAGCUUAUCAGUUGUUGGAACCAAGGAUGAAAAUAUCGGUAAUCACGGAUAUAUCGGUAACUUGAUUUUACGGAUAUAUCAGAUAUAUCGGAGAAAUAUCGACGGAUAUUUUGGAAAAAAAAUUUUGAUAGGCAAAAAAUUGAUCAAAACUCAUAAAAAUGUAAAAAAAAAUCUCAUAACAAUGUAAUUAGAAGUAUAAUAGAUAAUUUAAAUUUAUUUUGUUGAAUAAUUUGAUAUAUAUAUUAUAUGAUUUGCGAUAUUAUAUGUAAUUAUAUUAUGUAGGUCAAUAAAAAAUAUGAAUUUUGUAAUUACGCAUUCAUUAUCAAGCUUCAUAAAAAAUUUGAUUUUAUUAAAUACAAAUAAUUUAUAUAUAUUAACUUGAUUUCAUUAAAUACCAAUAAUUUGUAUAUAAUAUCGCAUAGUUGGGUUCACUUUGGAUCGUUGGAUCACAUCCAAAUUCACUUUGGACCAUCACCAUGGAGUCAUGAUUUGUUUCCAUUUUUUUUUUUUUUUUUUUAUCUCUACUAAAUUUUUAAAAAAAUCAAAAGGCCACCCAUCCGAAAAGCCCUUUGCUGAAUACCUGCUUCUCUCACUCGGGCAUCAAAAAGCCCUUGGCUGAAGCUGCCCUCCGGACGAGAGAAUCGGCCCCAAUUUCCUCUUUCACUCUCAAUCCUCGCAGGUUCUAAUCUAAUCAUUUAUUACUUUUUUUUUUUUUUUGCAACCCCUGUUUGAUUCCCAAGAAAAUCCAUCCCCCAUUCAAUUUCCGGGAAAAUCCAUCCCCCAUUCGAUUUCCGAGAAAAUUCAUCCUCGUUUGAUUUCCGAGAAAAUCCAUGCAAAACCCUCAAGGAAAACAAAAAAAAAUUGCUUUUUUUUUUCUCCUUGUGUUUUCUGAUCUAUUCUAGGGUCGCUUUGCUUUUGUGCCAUUGGAUUUAAAAUUCACGAACCCUAAAUCCACGAUUUUUGAGCCAGGCUGAAAAACAACUUUGCCUGCAAGUCAUGAUCAGAUUACCAAGGAACAUCUUAUGUUUUUUAAAAAAUAAAAUAAAAAUUGGACAGAUUUUGUAUCCUGUGCGCAAGCUGGACUGGUAGGAAAUAUCGGGAAAUUUCUCGAAAAAUCGGCCAUACAAAUCGAAAUUUCACCAAUUUUUUGCUUGCAGCCAUGUUUCGGUGAUUUUUUCGCCGAUUUUAACAGAAAUUUGGCGAAAUUUCUCCCGUCGACAUGUCGCCCCCCUAUUUCGUAUCGCCGGCCAUCGAAACCCGAAAUUUCGGUGAAAUUUCCGUGAAAAAAAUGGAAACUUUCAUCCUUGGUUGGAACCAAUAUUACUAUUUGGUUACAUAAAUAGUGAUCAUUAAAAUUCUUUAAUAUAUUAUAGUAUAAUCUUGCUUAGUUGCGGUGGCAAACUAGUUUUAUUUUUGCACUAAAAUUCUUGAAUAUAUUGUAGUAUAGUCUUGCUCAGGUGUAGUAACAAAUUUUUUUUUUUUUGCACCAAAAUUUGUUAUGAUAUUUUCCGGGAAUAUAGACACAUUUGUAUUAAAUUUCUUCACCAUCAAGAUUAUUAAACUCUAUAAUUUGAUAAAACCAAAAUUAUUGUUGAGUACAUCAGUGAAAAUCCUUUAAUAUAUUAUGCUAUUGUGAUCCUUAGUUCUGGUAGCAAACUUAUUUUUUCGCACGAAAUUUUGCCAAGAUGUGUUUAAGGAAUAUGACCACAUCGAUUUAGAAUUUCUCCGAUAUCUAGAUUUAGGAACCCUACAUUCGUUGGAAUCAAAAUUAUUGUUUGGUUAUACCAAAAUUGAUCAUUAAAAUUCUUUAAAUGGCUGUAGUAUAGUCUUGCUCAGUUGUGGUAGCAGUCUAGUUUUUUUCACACCAAAAUUUGUUAUGAUAAUUUUCAGGACUAUGGCCACAUCCGUAUUAAAUUUCUUCCCUAUCAAGAUCAUUAAACCAUAUAAUUCUAUAGAACCAAAAUUAUUGCGUGAGUAUAUCAAAAGUGACGAUCAAAAUCCUUCAAUAUAUUACGUUAUUGUCUUGCUCAGUUCUGGUAGCAAACUUAUUUUUUUGGCACAAAAUUUUGCUAUGAUGUGUUUAUAGAAUAUGACCACAUUAGUAUAAAAUUUGUCAGCCAUCCAGAUUUGGGAAGCCUAUCAUUCAUAGGAAUCAAAAUUAUUGGUGGGUUAUAUCAAAAUUGAUCAUUAAAUUAAAAAUCUUUAAUAUACUCUAGUACAAUCUUACUCAAUUGUGGUAGCAAACUAGUUUUUUUUUUUCACUCCAAAUCCAACAGUUUGAUUAUUUUUUUUUUUUUCAGCAUCAAAACAUCGCCGUUUUGGAAUAUAUAAAACCUCCUUCGAAGCCCUCCCUCUCCAAACCGCAACCGUUGGCGCCCACCCCCAAUGUGCCGCAACAGGCUCUCACUGUCAGCUGUCAGCCAUUUCACCAUGCAAAAUCUCCCUCUUAACACCCCCUGCGGGCCCCAACGCCCCGCCGCCCCACCCCCCCCCCCCAGCCCGGGCCUACUGUUGUUUAAAUUCUUUAUCAAAUUGUAAAAUUGACGACUCCUUUAAUUUCAACUAUACUAUAAUUAAGUUUUAUUGAAUUAGUUUACAAAAAAAAUUAGUUUACACAAAAAAAAAAAAUCUUGAAUUAGAUUUUAAUAAUAAUGGUAAUUUAAACUAUAUUAUAAUUAAGUUUUAUUUAUACCAAUUCAUAUAUCAAGAACUUAAUUUUCAUUUAAUUAGAUAAAGUAUGAUAUUAGAAAAAGAAAAAGUAAACCUAAACAGAGAGAAAAAAAUGGAUGAGUAAUAAGAGAUAAAUUAAAAAUUGAGAGAAAUAAAUUAGGAAGUAAAUAAAGAAGGAUGGAAACAUUUAAAAUGAGUAUUCGAGGAAGGAAGGGGACUCAAGGUGGGAGAUUGGGAGCUGAUAAAGAAAAAACUAAAAUAUGUCUUAUGAGAUAUGAUUUAAUGGUAAAAUUAUUACAAUUUUAAAUAAAAAUUUUAUUUUAAAAUAUUUUUUAUUUAAAAAUAAAUAUUAAAAUUUUAAAUUUUAAAUUAAAAUUAUGAUUUUAAUUUAAAUUUUUAAUUUGAAACUAAUUUUCUGAUUUUCAAAUAAAAUUUUAAUUUUUAAAUAAUAUAUAAAUUAUUAUUUUAAUUUUUAUAAUUAUUUUAAAUUUUAAUAAUUUAUAAAAUAUAUAUUUAUGACGUCACAAAUUCAACCGCCGAUCCGACCAAUGAAUCGUGAAUCAGUAACUUUUCCGAUUCAAUGACCUAUCCAAUUCUAAAAAUAUUGAAAAUAUAAUAUAUUGGAAAUCAACCAUUGAUUACCAAUUGAGCAAAAAAUCACAAAAAAAUCGACAAAAUAACGGUGAUUCUCUAGCAACUUUUUAAAAAAUGCAAAUUUUUAUUAAAAAAAUAUUUAUAAUUUUUUUGUUUUUUUUAUAAAUUAUUCAUAUCUAAUUUAUCAUUUGUUUUAAAUUUAUAUCACACAUUUAUUUUAUAUCAUCCUUUUAAUUUUAACUACUUUUCAUAUUUAUCUCAUUAAUCCUAUUUUUUUUUUAAAAAAUUAUUACUUCAAUUUUAAUUUUUUUAUAUUCAUUCUUUUAAUUUUAUUUAAUUUUAAUAGAAGAUGAAGUUUACAUGGAAAUUCCCUCAGGAUUUGAGACCACAAGCAAUGCUAACAAAGUUUGCAAACUAAGAAAAUCACUAUAUGGCCUCAAAUAGUAUCCCAAAGCUUGGUUUGAUAGAUUCACAAGGGCAAUUAAAGAGGCACAAGUACUCAUGGGGAUAUAAAAAGAUUAAUUUACAAUAUGUUUUUUUUUUGUUUAAUUUAAUAGGUAAAUGAAAUGCCUUAUUGAAAGGAACACUUUAUUGAAGGAUAGAGGUUAAAAAAACAAAAGAGAAACAAACUAUUGUAGCGGUUGUGAUCAAACGAACACACUUACAACUUCAAAUAAGAUUUAAUCAAAAGCACCAAUUAUACAAACCUUUUGUGAAAACAAAAUGACAACUCAAUUUUCAUAAAGAUACAAAGGAUAUUACACAUAUUCUAACAAAUAGAUAAUCUAAACCCUAAAACACCUAACCAUAAACCUUAAGGAUUAAACUCUAAACUUUAAACCCUAAAACCUAUAAAUCGUAACCCUAAUUUUCCCUAGAACAAAAUUGGAAACAUAAUUAUAAAGAAAUAAUUCAAAUUAGACAGUCUAAUGGAAACAAAAUUUUAGAAUCUAAUAUGAAUAAAAAGAAAUGAAAAUGAGAUUCUAUGUUUUAUUUAUUUAUUUAUUAUCAGUUAUUGAAGAACUAACUAGAUCGUAAAGAAGAAUAGGAACGAAAUCAAAAUAUUGAAAUUAAUUAGUGGAAUGCUGUGCAGGAUCUUCAACCAAAGUUAUUCCCUAAACAACAUUUUAAACUUUGCUCAUAAACAAAUAGCAUAAUGAAAGAAAACAUCUAAGGAAGUUCAAAUUUCAGAAACUAAUAGCAAGAAAACUAAAAGGAUGUUAAAUAAAACAUUUCAAGAAGAUCAAACUUUAGAAACUAAUAUCAAGGGAACCAAAUUCAAGAUUCGGAUGCAUCACACCCAUUUGGCCUCAAAUGCAGAGACAUUGAAAGAAAAAGAAAAGGGAAAUGCCAAAUUUUCUUAAAGAAAUUGUACAAAAAAAAAAAAAACAAAGUCUAUAGAAAAUUACAUUUUCAGAAACUAAUGAGAAAAUCUAAUUCAAUUUUCUUACACUCUUCAGCAAUUCCUCCUCAACCACAAAUCAAAUCAAACACCUUGGAAAAACAAAUCAAUGGGAGACGAAAUCAAAGCCCCUAAAAUCCCUAGUUUUAUUUAAUUUUUCUUCGUGCUUUUCCUCCAAUUCAUCGAACAAACACAAGCCAGAUAAAUAUAUAUAUAUAUAUAUAUAUAUAUAUAUGAAAACGUACUCCAAAAAAAAAUCACAAUGAAAGAUGAAGUUAAAACCCAAAAAAUCCAACCCACCAAUUCCCAAGUUUAUUUAUACCCUAUCUCCAGAUGUCAAACCAAUUCAUGAGCAAAAUUCCAACCCCAAUCUGAAAACCAAAUCAACGGAAGUAAUCAAAACCCCAAAUCCAGUCCAUUCAGGGUGGAUUUCAGGUUUUUUUUUCAACUAUUCCUCAAAUCUCCCUACCCUCAUGCAAUAUACCACCAGAACAGAACCCAGAUCCAAAGAAACGAAAAAUUCAAACACGAGCCCAAGAAGACCUCCCAAAAAAAAUCCAAUUCAGAAAGAAGGCAACGUAAUCGACGGAGGAGAAAUCGUGAGCGUAGAAAAGGGAUAGAUUACCAAAAACGAAAACGGCAUAAUCUCCCUCGCUGCGUACAGUCAAGGUCGACUUCAGAGGGCGCCCUCUCGCUCUUUUUCUCUCCCCCUCCCGUCUCUCUGGAAAUUUUAGUAUUAUUUUUCGCAUUUUAUUUCCAACUUACCCAUGCCUUCUAGAGGUCUCCACAUAAAUUAAUCUGGGCGAAGCGUUGGGUGGUUAGUUAAAGGUUUUUGAAAGAUUGUAGAUGAAACAAUCAAGAACAAUUAAAGAUAACAUUU